UACAGAGGUCUCAAGCGUUUGUUCGGAUUCAUUGGGCGUAAAGGGCGCGUAGGCGGGUUUGUAAGUCAGAUGUGAAAGCCCGGGGCUCAACCCCGGAACAGCAUUUGGUACUGCUAAUCUAGAGGGUAGGCGGAGAAAAUGGAAUUCCACAAGUAGCGGUGAAAUGCGUAGAUAUGUGGAAGAACACCGGUGGCGAAGGCGAUUUUCUAGCUUAUACCUGACGCUGAGGCGCGAAAGCAAGGGGAUCAAACAGG
rnacentral:rRNA from 1 species